rnacentral:rRNA from 1 species
AAAUGACGGUACCUGACUAAGAAGCCCCGGCUAACUACGUGCCAGCAGCCGCGGUAAUACGUAGGGGGCAAGCGUUAUCCGGAUUUACUGGGUGUAAAGGGAGCGUAGACGGCUGUGCAAGUCUGAAGUGAAAGGCAUGGGCUCAACCUGUGGACUGCUUUGGAAACUGUGCAGCUAGAGUGUCGGAGAGGUAAGUGGAAUUCCUAGUGUAGCGGUGAAAUGCGUAGAUAUUAGGAGGAACACCGGAGGCGAAGGCGGCUCACUGGACUGUAACUGACACUGAGGCUCGAAAGCGUGGGGAGCAAACAGGAUUAGAUACCCUGGUAGUCCACGCCGUAAACGAUGACUGCUAGGUGUCGGGUGGCAAAGCCAUUCGGUGCCGCAGCUAACGCAAUAAGCAGUCCACCUGGGGAGUACGUUCGCAAGAAUGAAACUCAAA